UCCUUACAUACGCACCAGCUUGUAACGGCUCCUAACAGUGUGCAUUGGUGCUAGUCAUGUACUUUGCUGCCUUUUUUGUAGCCGAAUCUGGCUUUGAACUCACAGAGAUCUGCCUGCCUCUGCCUCCCAGGUGCUGGGAUUAAAGGGGUGAAACACACUACAGGGAUAGACCGAGUCAGGAAAGAUAUGCCUGGCUGAGGUGGCCACAGUGGCUUACAAAAAUAUUCAAACGUGACACAAAAAAGGAAUACACUGAAGACAAACAUGUCAAGGAGUCCUCUGCAGAGGUGGAAAUUACCAUUCAGGAUAUAUCAAGGGAGGACAAGGAAGGAACGAUGAAAACAUCAGCCACUGAAGCAGAAGAGAGUGAAGCAGCUGAGGAUGCC
rnacentral:lncRNA from 1 species